UGAAGCAGCAUCCCAUUUUCU
rnacentral:sRNA from 1 species